UGUUUCAGAAUUGCUUCGUCCUUCACAUAUAAAAUGUUGCGUUUAAAUAUAAAAACCUACUGUACAUAUAACUUUCAUAAAACCCUUCUUAAAAGAAGAAUUUCAAAGGCGUCAAGGAAGGAAGAUAUUAAAUCCAAGCUGAAUCUUAAUAAUACUCGCAUUCUACUGUUUUUCUGUUAAUGACACAAACAUUAAUACCAACCACAGGGACCUACCAACCUCGGGAUGAUAGACGCCAAAAUGCUGGUACUAUCUGUGGUAGUAUAUACAUCAUGCCUGAUGAAAUUUAAUUUUCUCACGACGGCGAAUAUGAAGAUGACUUAUUGUUGUACGUGGUGACAUAUGUGGAGAAAGCGGUUUACAAUAUUGGAUCCUAACUGACCAAUGAUAACAGCUGCCUCCAUCUUCAGCCCUCUGAGAAAGACCCACACUGUGUUGCAACACAGAAGAAGACCAGCAAAGCUAAUUGUAGUUGAAGGCGAAGACAUUUUUCUAGUGAUGGGUUUUGCACAGACUGCAUUGGUACAACUAUUCUGUCCAGCCAAGGACUCCACCAUCCUUAUUCAUCCACGUGUAAAUGUGGCCUAAUGUAGGUGGAAGGAUCAGCUGUGAAGUUCAGAAAUCCUUUCUGAACUCUGAAAUCAUGGAGGGGGAGAAAGCGAAUGACCUUGAAAAGACACGAGUUGCUCCUACAACCACCUACGACAAACGCCAGUAAAAAUGGAAGACGGUGAGUUCCUACCAGCCUGAAACGAGUCAACACAAUCGCAAUCCUAAGUCUACUUUUAAAACAUUGCUAAAACAAAAUAUGUUUACGGCCUGCUGUAUGAACAUCAACCGGUCUUGGCACCGAAC